AACGAACGCUGGCGGCAGGCCUAACACAUGCAAGUCGAGCGCACCUUCGGGUGAGCGGCGGACGGGUUAGUAACGCGUGGGAACGUGCCCUUUUCUAAGGAAUAGCCACUGGAAACGGUGAGUAAUACCUUAUACGCCCUUCGGGGGAAAGAUUUAUCGGAGAAGGAUCGGCCCGCGUUAGAUUAGGUAGUUGGUGGGGUAAUGGCCUACCAAGCCUACGAUCUAUAGCUGGUUUUAGAGGAUGAUCAGCAACACUGGGACUGAGACACGGCCCAGACUCCUACGGGAGGCAGCAGUGGGGAAUCUUGGACAAUGGGCGCAAGCCUGAUCCAGCCAUGCCGCGUGAGUGAUGAAGGCCUUAGGGUCGUAAAGCUCUUUCGCCUGUGAUGAUAAUGACAGUAGCAGGUAAAAACCCCGGCUAACUCCGUGCCAGCGCGCGGU
rnacentral:rRNA from 1 species